CAGAGGUGAGAAGGGACCGAGAGUGUAACAUGGUAUUCCAUGUGUUAAGGGUUCGAGUCUUGGGAGUGGCUGUGCUCCUAUUUCUCGAACGUCUAAACCCUAAACCGGCUGCUAUCUUUGCAGGGAUAUGUGUUUGACAGAAUCUGUCAAAACAUAAAUAUAUAUAGGGGGUGUUGUUCCAGAGUUUCCCCCCUCGUGUUGGAAACAAAUGAAGCUCUGAAGCCCCACUGUGGUUCCACCUCUCGCAAGGACGGUUGAUUGUCCUUGGAAAGCUCGUAGGUGUUGGUCGUUGCAGUUCGCUGCUCAACCAACUGUGUCCUCGCUUUCCAAAUUCCCCUCCCUCUUUU
rnacentral:telomerase_RNA from 1 species